GGGGUGUGUCCGCGCACCACGGGGGCGCGCGCCGCCCUCUGACUGGCGGCCGCGGCGGCGGAGGCGCGAGCUGCCCGAUAAUGGCGGCCUGCAGAGCCCGCGCGAGAGAGAAGCGGCGGCGGCUGCCCUGAGAAACCUCGGCCUCGAAGAUGGUACGUGUCACUGAAUGGGAAACAGACAUGAUCUGAGCAUAACUAACAUUUGUCAUCAGGAAGAGGAGUGAAAGGGUCAGGUGAACAUCUCCCUUUAAGUACAGGUGUUUUCUGCUUCAGAGUACUUAGGGAUCUGCCAAGAUCUGAGUAGAUGUUUGCUUAAAACAAGGUUUUAUUUAAACUUGUGAUGCACAGACCUAAAAAUAACACUGGCCACCUGUUGUGCCUUGGAACCUGCCAGUCUUUAUAGAAAUGGGGCAAGAUAGGACCUAGAGAAGUGCCUGAGACUGGAGUCUAAUAAGUUCACUUCUUGGAAAUCCUUUGUUUUGGAACUGAUGAUAGAAGAAAAGGAGAAACUCCACAACCAAUAGGAGCACCCAUAGGUCCCUGCUAUUGCGCCUGGGAAAGCAGCAGAAGAUAGCCUGAGUACUUGGGCCCCUGCACCCACGUGUGAAACCCGGAUGAAGCUCCUAGCUACUGGCUUCUGGCCUGGCACAGCCCUGGCGGUUGCAGCCACUUGGGGAGUGAACCAGCGGAUGGAAGAUCUCUGUCUCUCCUUCUGUCUCUGUAACUCUGCCUUUCAAAUAAAUAAAUAAAUACAUCUUUUAAAAAGAGAAACUUGCAAGUUUCGUUGUAUGGUGAACAAAUAUCAAUCUUAAUUCAUAGCUUAGCACUGCAUGCACUGACAUUUUCGUUCUUAAGACAGGGAAUAUAAAACACAUUAAGCCUUUAUUCACUUUAUUUAAGCACUUUAUAUACAAAGUGCUUAUUUUGUAAGUUGCACUGAUAGAAAAUGUUGGAACUACUCUUAAAAAUAGACUCUUAUUGAGCCUUGCAGACUAAGAUGCAUAAACUCUUGAACCAACAAAGCAGACAUUUAAACUUUAUAUUGAUUACAGAUCCAGCAACCAUUUAUAUAUAUAUAUAUAUAUAUAUAUAAAAAAUAUACAGUAACUGGACAUUAGCUGGUGUUUCAAGGUUUUAAGAAGUAACUUGACUCAGGGGUUUUUGUAUCUAAAACAUCUUUUUAAAAGCCUGUUAAAGCCACUUGUGAGGUGUAGGCAUAUUGGCACAGCUGUUAAGUCGCCUGAGUCAUAACUGAUGCUUCCCAGAGUAUCCAUUAGCAGAAGGCUGGAGCAGAGCCAGAGCUUGAACCCAGGGACUCUAACAUAGGAUGCAGUUGAUCCAACUUCUUCUUAACCACUAGGCCAAAUGUAUAUAAAAUAAGAAUAAUGAUUUCAACCCUCCAGGGGAGUUGUCAGACUUAAAGAUGAUGCAAAACUAAUGCUUGACACAUAAGAAGUAUUCAGUAAUAGAUGCAGGUAUUAAAAUUAUCUUUUCUGCAGACUUCUUUAGUUGACCAGACUUUCAUGAACACAUUAUCAGGUGCCUUGUCUGAGUUCACAUCUAGUAAAGACAACAGGUGUUUACAACUAGUAAAGACAAAGCUGUAUUGUGACCAGAGUCCCUAUGUGUGGUCUUCUCCAUUCUCUAUACAAAUUUUAAUUUUCUUCCAUGUUUUUCCAGAUAUCUUUUUCUUUGUUCUCAUUUGGAAUCAUUAAAUCAGUUCCUGAUACCUAAAAGCCUCACCUAAAAGAAAACAAAAUAAUUAGCAGAUGACACAGUGUCAUGCAUAAAACUCAAUGACCAGUAUACUUGUGAUAACGUGUCAUGGGUGAGAAGUAGAGGAUGGCAUAGGAACAUAUAAAAAGAAACCUGACAAUACUAAGUUCUUUUUAUUGUCUAAGAUUUAUUUAUUUAUUUGAAAGGCAGGUGACACAGGGAGAGGGAGAGACAGAUCGUCCGUCUGCUGGUAUAAUCCCCAUAUGGCCACAACAGCCAGGGCUAGGCCAGGCUGAACCCAGGAUCCUAGAGCUCCAUCUGGGUCUCCCACAUGGGUGGCAGGGACCCAAGCACCUGGGCUAUCCUGUGCUUUCUCAGGUGCACCAGCAGGGAGCUGGAUCAGAAGUGGAGCAGCCGGGACUGGAACUGGUGCUCAUAUGGGAUACUGGUGUCGCAGGCUAGGUGCCUGCUGCACCAUAGUGCUGGCCCCCCUCUUUCUAAUUCUCUUUCUCUGGGCAUGUGUCUCACUCUUCAUUUCAAAUAAAUGUUUUUUAAAAGAAUUACCAAAUUUUUAAACUAAAAUUUGUGGGGUGAAGAGGCAUUAGCUAGGGGCCAGUACUGUGAUAUAGCAGGUUAAGCUGCUGCCUGCAGCGGCAGCAUCCCAUAUGGGCGCUGGUUCGUUUUCCAGCUGCUCUACUUCUCAUCCGGCUCUCUACUAAUUUGCCUGGGGAAGCAGUGGAGGAUGGCCCAGAUGCUUGGACCCUGCACCCACAUGAGAGAUCCAGAAGAAGCUACUGGUUUCAGCUUUGCUUAGUCCUGGCUGUUGCUGCCAUUUGGGCAGUGAACCAGCGGAUGGAAGACCUCUAUGUCUCUCCCUCCCUCUCUUUCUCUGUAACUCUGCCUUUCAAAUAAAUAAAAUCUUAAAAAAAAAAAAAAAA